rnacentral:lncRNA from 10 species
UCGUACAUAAUUAUUAGAGUAACACCAUUAAGGUUAGCACAUACAAUGACUCCCAAAGAAAAAACAUUGUCUAUUUAUAAGCAUUGCUGUGAAUGGGUGGAACGUCUCAGCAAUACAGUCACAAGCAGCAGUCCCGGUGUUCUCACUCAGAUAUUCCACGUAGCACUUCAUAGUAUGCUUUAAGUGAGGGAAUGUGACCUAUAGAUACAUCUACACGAGAAGGAUUCCCAUAAGGCAUAAACUGUUCAAUAAACAAUCAUAAAAAUAUAUUCAUUCUUCCCUAUCUAGAAAUCUAUGUCUUUAUUUAAAAAUACGUGAUGAUUCAUGCUUAAGGACGUGUUGUUGGACAGUUGGUUACAGUCUUUUAUCUAGUCAAAAGAUUCUUAUCUGCCAGAAAUGUGAUAAGUCCACUUAUAACUAGUCUCUCAAAACAUCCUAGAUAUUUUUCUCUGUAUGCAUAGUUAAUCAUACAAAUUAAUCUAACCUAAUGCCAUCUUGUUACCCUAAAAUGUUUAAUGAUAAUGGCUUAUCAUCUUUCAUCCCCAUAAAUUUUCUCCUUGCUUUCAGUGAGCAGCAACUUCACUCCCAUAUACGCACUUGUUGUGUAUUCCUUCUCCUGCCAAAUUCACACAGUCACCUCCUCUUCCAGGAUAAGACGUUUACUGCUGAUAAUCACAGCCACAGGGGAAACAAAGAACUGCCAUGCUCAAAUGAGGGUAAGGUGAGGCAGGUCCAUUAAUUUACAAAGGGACUGAUUACAAACAUGCAAGUGGGGUGCAGGGAAACCACAGGUGAUGCUACAUGAACGCAGGGCUGAAGACAGUAGAGCUGUUACUACCCCUAGGCCAAAGGGACAGAGAGAUAGUGGGCACCAAAACCAAAGGAGGGGAAUCUACAGGCAGGUGCUGGCCCAGCAACAGUUUUUUAGAUGAACUAGGUACGGAAAUUGAGAAUAAGCAUUUAUAAACUUCAACAGUAAUCCCAAAGAAUAAUUGUGUCUAAUAAAAAAUGAGGUUUAUCUAAUAAUAAAAAUGGGGUUGGAUUUUCUAUGUCUUUUUUUUUUUUUCCAAGAUGGAGUCUUGCUCUGUUACCCAUGCUAGAGUGCAGUGGCAUUAUCUCGGCUCACUGCAACCUCUGCCUCCCGGGUUCAAUUCUCCUGCCUCAGCCUCCUGAAUAACUGGGAUUACAGGUGUCCGCCACCACCCCCAGCUAAUUUAUUUAUUUAUUUUUAAUUGUAUUUCAUUUUUCUAGUAAUUUCUUUGAAUUCUAUCUAUUUACAGAAGUGCCAGCUAUUGAUAAAUUGGAAAUAAGGAAAACAAGCUGGGCCUUAGCCACAGAUAUUGUAAGAAGCUUUUCUGUAGAGAAGGCCUUCUUGGGCAAAACAGGCAGCCCAAGGAUACCCAGUAGGAGGAUAGUCAAGGAAAUUGAUACUCUAUCCUUCCUCUCUUCACUUCCUCCAGUCUCUUGUCGAAGUUCUCCAUUUGGCUAUACCCACUGAGGUCCAUGUGGGUCAGUCUCUGGAGGCAAAAAGCAGGAUACAGAAGGGUGGAGAGUGGAUCCCCAUCCUGUACAGUUGAAAAGUCUAUGUCCCCAACAUUGCAAAUGCACGAAGUCCCAUCACCACAGAGUGAUGUCAUUUAGUCACGGAGUAAUGUCUCCCUGUGCCACUUACCAACUUACUAACACUGAACUCCAAAUUCACUCUAAAUACAUGCUCUGUCAUAAUGAACAGAAUUCCUUUAGCACCCAUCCUUUACAGUGAGCAUGAUAUUGAGCUGUCUCAGUAGAGGGCGCUGGAGGGAUACUGCAACAGGAAAGGGCUCUCCUGCUGUUUGCAGCUGCUGCAAGAGGUCAGCAGUGUGGGUGGGAGGGCUUUUGUCAUGCUCUUCCCUGGCUGCAUCCCUGAGCAUGGGGUUCCUUUGCAACUUCUCAGCUGCAGCCUGGCCUAGCAUUAAAAAUAGAACCCAUUACACAGGUUUGUUGUAAGUAAGUGUUUUUUGUUUUUUGUUUUUUUUUUUGAGACGGAGUCUUGCUUUGUCACCCAGGCUGGAGUGCAGUGGCGCGAUCUCGGCUCACUGCAAGCUCCGCCUCCCUGAUUAACACCAUUCUCCUGCCUCAGCCUCCCGAGUAGCUGGGACUACAGGUGUGUGUAAGUACUAAUUUUUAAAGGGCAGAUAUAAUCAGUAUAUUAACAUGCAGUUCUCACAGGGGUAACUAAAAACAACUUUUAAUUUUAUUCCUCACUGUCUGCUUGGGAGUGAAGGACUGGCUAGCCCUUCUCCUACCCCUGGAUGAAACUUGGGGUGGCACAAUGGCUGUUCUCACACAGGACUUUGGAGGGAAUAUAAAAUCCUACAAUUACUUCAAGACACAAACAUAGUCUCAAGUCAGUUAUUGAAAAUGUCCAAUCCAAUGCAUCAAUCAGUAAUUCAAUUUGUAUUCAAAGGUAAGACUUCUGGGAAGGAAUCCUUCUCUUUUAUUUCCUUACUCCCCACUGUUCACUAAUUGGCUUUUGGCCCUUCCAGGGUUAAGUGCUCAGAUGAAGGAAAGAAAAGGGGAUAAAAAAGUUCAUACUUGACAGAUACUGUCAAAAUGUUGCUUAAUGCUGUCUGUCUGACAGAUGCUUAAGACUAACCUUUCUUUUAUAGACACUUUUGGGAUUCUUCAGAGGGGUUCCUGCCAAGUGAUGUAUUCUAGUUCUCCAAUUGCCCCACAUGACUUAGUCCUUGGUUUUCCAGAAGUUCACUCAGUACUGACCUUCUUCUAUUUUCAAGAUAGUACCCCUCUUACACAAGAUUUUAAAUUGUUCCAAACCAGAACUUACACACCACUCGGCUCACACUAGACCAUGGGAAUAUUCGUCUACCUUUUAUCCCAACAAACUCUACGACUGAAGGUCAAGCUGGGGUAGCAACAACUCUCCUCACUUCACCUGCAAAAGCACUUGCCAGACCUCCUCUGAGCCUCUCUACAGACACCACCCGCAGUGUCUGUGAGGUCUGCUAAUGGAGCUUGCCACAAAAUACAGACUGAAACAAGUUUUAUAAACUUCCUCAGCUUUUUGAGAGAGGGAAGAAUUUCCCAUUUGAAUUCUUCCAAGGAGAUUUCCCCCUGUACUCAUAACUUUUCAUCUUUAUUUUUCUUUCCUAUGACCCCUAAGCAAACAUCCUGUUGGUGACCAUAAGCUUGGCAAUAAAUUAUCCACGUGUUGCCUCACUGGGGUUUUACUACCAGUUGGUCUAUACUGUUGUGGGAAUAACAUGCACAGUCACUGCAGAAGGAAUUAAGCCAUUGUAUAAACUUUAAAACAUGCAAGCCCACCCAUUAAAAUUGUUCCUUGUUAUUCUUACCGUAUAUAUCCAAAGUAAAUGAAGUUGAGAUUUGAUGUCAUCAGUAGCCCAUUUGAUUAUCUACAAGAAUCAGAUAACAAACUGGUAUUAUGGUAGUCACUCAACAGGACAAAUAUUAAAUAACAAAUGACACAAUACAUGGUUUCAAAAGGGUGUUUACUAUUUGGCCAAACAAUAUUUUUUAAUUGUC